rnacentral:rRNA from 1 species
UACGUAGGUGGCAAGCGUUGUCCGGAUUUACUGGGCGUAAAGAGCGCGCAGGCGGUCAUUCAAGUCGAGUGUGAAAGCCCCCGGCUCAACUGGGGAGGGUCACUCGAUACUGUUUGACUCGAAGGCGGGAGAGGGAAGUGGAAUUCCCGGUGUAGUGGUGAAAUGCGUAGAUAUCGGGAGGAACACCAGUGGCGAAGGCGACUUCCUGGCCCGUUCUUGACGCUGAGGCGCGAAAGCUAGGGGAGCAAACAGG